CGGCGAGCCCGGGGCGGGCUGUGAUGCGGGCGGUGCUCCUCGUGCGGCGGCGGUAUAGGGACGAGCGCCGCGGUGAGUACAGCCAGCUGAGUGCCGCCGCCGCCCGGAGUCCGCCGCCUCCGGCCCGCUCCCGCUGCUCUGCGCCCGCUCGGCCCGUCAGCUAGCCUGAGAGCGGCCUCCGUGAGAGGGGCGCCUGGCCGGACCCUGAGCUUCGCGCCCGCGCGCUGCGGCCGUCCGCGCCUCCUCGGCCGCCUGUCCGGCAUGAAGACCAAGUUCUGUAACGGAGGCGAGGCGGAGCCCUCGCCGCUCGGCCUGUUGCUGAGCUGUGGCGGCGGCAGCGCGGCCCCGGCGCCCGGCCUGGGGCAGCAGCGCGACGCCGCCAGCGACCUCGAGCCCAAGCAGCUGGGCGGUCGGCAGCCGCCGCUCGCGUUGCCCCCGCCGCCGCCGGCCGACGAGCCGCCCGAGCCCCGGACGCGGCACAGGGCCUAUUUGUGGUGCAAGGAGUUUCUGCCCGGCGCCUGGCGGGGCCUUCGCGAGGACCAGUUCCACAUCAGUGUUAUCAGAGGUGGCCUCAGUAACAUGCUGUUCCAGUGCUCCUUACCCGACACCAUGGCCGCCAUUGGCGAUGAGCCUCGGAAAGUGCUCCUGCGGCUGUACGGGCCGAUUUUAAAGAUGAGGUCCUGUAAUAAAGAGGAAUCCGAACAAGCUCAGAAAGAAAAUGAAUUCCAAGGUGCCGAGGCCAUGGUUCUGGAGAGCGUUAUGUUUGCCAUUCUUGCAGAGAGGUCACUUGGACCAAAGCUCUACGGCAUCUUUCCCCAAGGCCGCCUGGAGCAGUUUAUCCCGAGCCGGCGGUUAGACACUGAAGAGUUAAGUUUGUCAGAUAUUUCUGCAGAAAUAGCUGAGAAAAUGGCCACAUUUCAUGGUAUGAAAAUGCCAUUCAAUAAGGAACCAAAAUGGCUUUUUGGAACAAUGGAAAAAUACCUAAACCAAGUGGUGAGAAUUAAGUUUACGGGGGAAUCCAAAGUUAAACAGCUGCACAAAUUCCUCAGUUACAAUUUGCCUUUGGAACUGGAAAAUCUGAGGUCAUUACUUGAAUCCACUCCAUCACCAGUUGUAUUUUGCCAUAAUGACUGUCAAGAAGGUAACAUCUUACUGUUGGAUGGCAGAGAGAAUUCCGAAAAACAGAGACUGAUGCUCAUCGACUUUGAAUAUAGCAGUUACAAUUAUAGGGGAUUUGACAUUGGGAAUCAUUUCUGUGAGUGGAUGUACGAUUAUAGCUAUGAAACAUACCCUUUUUUCAAAGCAAACAUGCUGAAGUAUCCCAACAGGAAACAACAGCUCCAUUUUAUUUCCAAUUACUUGGCUGCAUUCCAAAAUGAAUUUGAAAACCUCAGUAAUGAAGACAAGUCUGUUAUAGAAGAAGAAAUGUUGAUUGAAGUCAAUAGGUUUGCCCUUGCCUCCCAUUUCUUCUGGGGACUUUGGUCCAUUGUACAGGCCAAGAUUUCAUCCAUUGAAUUUGGAUACAUGAGGGUUACCGGUUCCCCACAAGGAUCUGGACAAGGUGACCUGGCAGCAGUAUAGUAGGCUCAGCCCAGAAAGCUGAGGGAGAAAGGGUGCAUAAUUUAAACCACUUUAUUGAUGCUGCAUCUGCCCUUGGAGGGUGCCGGCAGUCCCUGCCCUCCCUGCCCGGACUUCAGAGGUCCGGCCCCGACCUCAGUCCCCUCACAUGGGGACGCAGAGUGAAGGAGCGUGGGCUGCAUGGCCGUGCCGCGCGGCGUUUUGUUCAUCUGCUCCAGUCCAGUCUCUGGCCCGCGGCACCCAGCUUAGAGUUGGAAGCUGAUGCUGAUUGAAUUAGGCUUUCUAUUUGUUGUAGGACUAUGCCCAAGCUCGGUUUGAUGCUUACUUCGCCCAGAAGAGGAAGCUCGGGGUGUGAUGGUGGGGCGGACCCCUCGCGCUGCACCUGGACGGUGUGGGCAGCUGCGCCAGCGGGCCUGAGCCCGGUACCGCACCUGGGGCUGGAAGGUGUCGGGGGGCUUGCUGCCCGGCACAGAUGUGUAUGAUACAAAAGACUGUAUUUACAACUGAGUGACAUUUAUUUCCUAUCUUGUUUACGAUUUACUGGGACUCUGCGGUGAGAUUGGGAAGCAGAACUAGAAUACAGCAGCGCGAUACCUCGGGAUCCUUGUGACGCAGAGAAGUCAUUUAUAUCUGGGGCCUGCAGCCCCCGGUCAGACUAGACAGCAAGAGUAACAGGGUUCCUGCAGGGGCUUUUUUUGCCCAAUGUUGAUUUUUAAAAGUAUUUUAAUUAACAUGCUGGUGAACACUGUGACCAGGCCCUCUAGGUGACUGUGUGUAGACACUGCCCGCUCCCCAGUGGCGAGCGAGCAGAGAUUGACUGUGACGUUGCUUUGCGGCCUGACCUCAUCUCCAAAAGCUGCUCCUUCACCCUUUAGGUCCAAAUGUCUGACGCUCAAGUUGGCAGGCUGCACAUGACAUACGCGAGCUGCUGCCUGCGCAGCAAGGAUGACUGUAGCUCCUUGGGGCCUGUUAUACUUUGUCAUGCUGAUGAAUCUCACCCUGGAGGCAGCCUGGCCGUGCCCUCCUCCUGACUGAACAAGCCGUAUGAACCCCAGCUCUGGAGCAGGCAGGGAGCCAUGGCCACAGAGGGCCACCGACG